GCCCUCCCCCCUCUCUCGGGGGCUAAACGCCCUCACUAGUUUCGGAAGUCCGCCAAACUCCCUCCCGGUGCGUGGGGACACCGAGCAGCCUGCAGCCGCCCCAGCAAAGCGGCAGAGCUCGCUGGAGCCACGCGAUCCGGCCCUGGCUCACCUUACAGAGAAGGGACCCAUGUGCCGCACGCACCCACCCAGGAAGCCGGCACGUCUCCCGCCAGGCAGGACAUACAGUGGAAUACAUCUUACCGGGCCACUUACAGGACCAGCAAAAAUUGACUGCUGGGAGCAGAAGCAAUAUCUGAAAGAGGAACAAAAACUGUAGGAUUAUGGCAGCAGUGCUCUCUCUAUCCUGUAUAAAGCCACACCCUGGAGCUGGUAAUACUCCUUACAAAAGACAUAUUCAAGAGAGUCACAGUCCUUUGUUUAGGAGAAAGGACAAGAGGAGUUUAAUAAAGAACUAAAUUUAUUGCAAGCGGAAAAACCCCUUAGUGAAGAACUAGACACUACAAAAAUAAUGCACAAGAAAGAAAAUAAUGAAAGAAAAACAGAUUGUAUAGGGGAGGAAGAAACUGAAGAGAGGAAGAAAAUAUGGAGGCAAGAUAAAAAGGUUUAAGGAAAACUGUGAGACAUUUAAACAAAAACUGUGAAGCAAAUUAUACUGAAGGGCCACUUCAUUCACCACUGAAAUGCAAUUACCUCAGUCCCAACUGUUUGACAGUACACAAUACUGCAUAGUUUAGAACUGAAACAGUGACUGUCUUCCUCCAUUUGAAUUCGGAGGGGGGAAAUACAUGUAAGUGGAAAGCAAUUACCUGAGUUAUUUGCCCAAAACACUAGAGUUAACACCUCUGCUUUUCAAAGAAAGAUAUUGCUAUGGAAACUCUCAUAAGCACAAGUGUCCAGGACCAGGGUUUUGUGUCUAGCAGGACAUGUAACUCCAUGGUGCCCCAGUGGUAAGAAAAGUAGAUGGCACCUUCCUUAAGUCACCAGUGAAAUACCACCACUUAUUGGAAAAUUCCUAUUCAGAUACUGACAUGGUGUGACACUGGUCUGAUUGCAAGAUCCAAUGAAAACAGCACAAAGCGUUAUGGCGCAGAGAAGGUUUAAGACAAGAAAAGAGAAGGCCUGUUGAAAGAAAAUAUGGUCUCGUGACUUGUGUUUAAGGCACUUGACUGGGACUUGGGUGCCCACAACUGUUACUUAGAAUGUUGGCAUCUUCUCCGAUUUUAGAUGGAGACCCUGCUAGCUAGCUUAAUAUACAUUUUAAGACUGUAUUGCCCUCCUUUUUCUCCUCUUUCUCCCUCCGCAGUAGAACUGGUUUUAUUUUUGUUUUCUAAUGAGUCUGGUAUUGUUCAUCUGUGUACUAAGGGUAGAAACUUAUAAAUGCAUAAAGAGUAAUAACAACAUACAAUUGAUUGGAUACAAUAUUAUGCCUUGCAACAUUAAGAUAGCAAUUCAUUCCUUUUCCACAAAUGUACAAUAGACAGCCUAAAAUUUUCAAAUACUGUACAGUAGGAAAUGUUAACAACUUUUACAAAAAACACCACAGCAUACAGUUUACUGCAGACAUUGCCUAACAACCAAAUGCCAUCCAUGAGUUACUUACUGAUAGCCAACCAGUCAUGGAAUCUCUGACCGGCUACACCCCACAUUCUAACUCCCUUUCUGGAAACAUGUAUGGUUUGGUAUCUGGAGUUCACACAAUAAUACCAUGAGACUUUAGACUGUAACUACUGCAAUUCAACAGCAGCUCAACUUUGAUCUCCCAUUUUAUUUGAUAACUACCCUUGUAUGUUUUUUUCAUAUUGUUGUGUUGGACAAUACAUUAGUACCCAGAGUGAGACAGAGGUCCAUUUGUGAUGCACUACUUUGUGCCAGUAACUCGUCAGGCCUGGCAUGCUCACUGCACCUAACACACUGUUGUUAGGAUAUGUACCCAAUAGGGGACAUGUAGCAUAUCACUGAAAAACUAACACCACACCGGUCUCUAAUAUUCUUGCAUGAUGUAUGUACGAAGUGUGUACAAAGUUAUGGAUAUGUUCUUAAUAUGUUUGGCAAGCAAUGCAUAAUCACAGGGAAGGACUAUACUACAGCGGGGAUCGACGCUCUGAGACCAAAUCACCAACAGUCGAUUUAGCAGGCCUAAUAAAGACCUACCAAAUCAACUGUAGAUCUCUCUCCAGUCGACCCCUGUAUUCUACCUUUGAGGAGAAGAGUAAGGUAAUUCAACAGGAGACUUUCUCCUGUCGACCCCUCACGGUAAAUCAACCUAAGAUACAUCGACUUCAGCUACAUUAUUUACGUAGCUGGAGUUGAAUAGCAUAGGUCGACUUACCACGGUAGUGUAGACAUAGUCAUAGUCUACCCUAGACAAAGAAAAGUAUCAAGCUAAUAAUCAAGGGACAAGACAACAUAGUGUCAACACCCCAGCAGGAAAAUUUGGGCUAUAAAGAUGAGGGUCUGGAAUUCAACUACAAUAAUAUCGUAUACAAUUGGUUGUAUUAUAAAAGUGCAUCAAGUAAGGUCUAUUAUGAAAGACUAACACAAUGAAAUGUAUGCACUAACACUAUAUGAGAAAUUAUAAAUACUCACUAACAUUAUGCUUUGAAGUCUGUGAAUAAAAGGUAUUUGAACCAUG